UACGAAGGGGGCUAGCGUUGCUCGGAAUCACUGGGCGUAAAGCGCACGUAGGCGGCUUGUUAAGUCAGGCGUGAAAGCCCCGGGCUCAACUCGGGAACUGCGCGUUGAUACUGUCGAGCUAGAGUGUGGAAGGGGCUACUGGAAUUCUCGGUGUAGCGGUGAAAUGCGUAGAUAUCGAGAGGAACACCUGCGGCGAAGGCGGGUAGCUGGGCCGACACUGACGCUGAGGCGCGAAAGCCAGGGGAGCGAACGGG
rnacentral:rRNA from 1 species